UACGGAGGGUCCAAGCGUUAUCCGGAAUCAUUGGGUUUAAAGGGUCCGUAGGCGGUUUUGUAAGUCAGUGGUGAAAGCCCAUCGCUCAACGGUGGAACGGCCAUUGAUACUGCAAGACUUGAAUUAUUGGGAAGCAACUAGAAUAUGUAGUGUAGCGGUGAAAUGCUUAGAUAUUACAUGGAAUACCAAUUGCGAAGGCAGGUUGCUACCAAUACAUUGACGCUGAUGGACGAAAGCGUGGG
rnacentral:rRNA from 1 species